GAGCACUAACAUUCUUGUGUGCUGAAUUGUGAUAGCCGUCAAAGGCAGCAAAUAGACUGAAUGAAAGAUGAGCUUCUGCCUUUAUAUCCUUCUCUCCUGCUACCCAACUCAUUGUGGUGAAGGAAAAAGAAAACGCGGGUGGAGACUGCACUAUAUGCUUAGGACUGAAAUGCAACUGCAGAAGCAACAUGUGACCUUUUAGAGAUGCUUGUGGGACUGCAUAAAGUGAAGAGGGAAACUGGAAAAAAACAAUGAA
rnacentral:sRNA from 1 species